GCGUGCGAGAAAGCAGAAAGAUAUGAGAACGAGUGAAAAGAGAAAGAGAAAAAGAAAAAAGAAAAAAAACGACGAGACAGACGAGAGAGAGAGAGAGAGAGAGAGAGAGAUGUUCGCUCGGGUAUCGGGUAUCGUCGCGAGCGAUUGCUGAAAAUUCAUUGCUGAAAACCGAACCUAUUAAUCGUGAUCAAGAUAUACGUAAUAGGAUGUAAGGCUUAACGAUGCGCGACAAGAUGAAUUUUGUGUCUAUUUUUAAACGGGAACUUGUUCGAUUUAUUCUCUCUAAUUUAAUAAGAAUCGCGCGCGUGAGGAGAAAGUGAGAGGGAGAGAAAGGGAGAGAGAGAAAGAGAUUGUGCGAUCGAGCGAGUGUAGUGGACGGAUGAAAUAUUUCACGAGAAAUGCUCGUGAAAAAUCGUUUAGCGAUGGUAGACGUAUAUAGUUUCUAACUUAUUAGUAGCUUUCGAUUAGUGGUUACCGAGCAGAAUGAGUAACUGAUCGUUCUAACGUGAUUGGGUAAGAAGGGCACGAGGGACGCUAAGCUGUUAACCCUUUGCACUCGAAGAUUCUUUUCGAGGAAGUACGAUCGAUAUCAAAAGUGACGAAAUCUUUUUAAAAUUAACAUAAAAACUUGGACUUGAAUUUCUCGUGUUAUUGUAAACAAUAUUGUUUCGUUCAAAUUAGAAUUCUACGAGGAAUAAAUUGCUUUUAAAAAUAUACUUGAAAAGUUUCGAAGAUGGGAUACUAGCUUCACGAGUGCAAAGGAUUAAUUCUAUUGCGAUAGAUGGACGAUUUCAUCCUGCUUAAGUCACCUCGAUAGAUCCUUCAUCGUUUAAAAAAUUUCCUUUCGAUAAUAAUAUCGCAUAAUGCGAUCAACGAACGUAACUCGAAGAUGUUUCGGAUCUAUCGAUAUCUUAAGCAGGGUUGGACGAUCGCGAGGAUCGAGGACAAAGGAGG